rnacentral:rRNA from 1 species
AUGUCCGCACACAACUCAGGCCAUGGAGUAGAUGCUGGUGGUGGAUGCAAUGGCUCGGAAGGGGAAGAAGCUGCCAGUGUGCACGCGGGUCUCGGACGUGCUCAUGGUGCACAUGAUGUCGUGCUUAAACGCGUGCGUGCGACGCUACUUGCUGGUCCUGUCGUCGGGCGUGUCCGUGGAGGUGAGGACAAUGCCGCCGGGGACGCCAGUGACGCUCGACGUGGUCGUCGACGCUUGGGCUUGGCUGGUCGCAGCAGAAUGCGCCCGGCUCUGACGAAGUGGCAAGGCGGCCGUGCCGAAGUUGUUCCAUCUUUGGUAAAUGGCAGCGGCAAUGAUGCAACCAGCCCUGCCGGCAACGUUAACCAAGGUGAUUGUACCGAAGGUGUUCCAUCUCUGGUAGAUGGCAGCGGCAAUGAUGCAACCAUCCCCGCCGGCAACGUUAACCCAUGCAUCCGUGUGGAGUUGAACAAAGGUGUUGUUCCGGAGAGUGACCCUGGACCUGGAGUACAAGCUGAAGUAGCUGACACCGGCAGCAACAAUGGCCCAAAUGCUAAUAGAAAAAAUAAGAGAAGAUGGUACCCAGACAAUCAAAAGCAAGAAAUUUAUGCCAUGAUAUUAGAGCGGACAAAUCAAGGCGUACUAAACCAAGGGGUGGUUGAGGAGGUGGCAGAGCUUUGUUAA